AGUUGGAUAGCUGGGUCAAAAGGUGGUUCUAUUCCCAGUUUUCCAAGAGAUCGCCAUACUGCUUUCCAGAAUGGCUGUACCAUUUUGCAAUUCCACCAGCAAU
rnacentral:pre_miRNA from 1 species